GGUUCGAUGGUGUAGUUGGUUAUCACUUCUGUCUAACACCGAAUUUACGUAAGCGAUAACUUGCGUAAUCGACGUCACACAGGCGGUCCUCAGUUCGAACCUGGGUCGAAUCA